ACUGCCAUAUCACGUUGAAACACCGGUUCCUGUACGACCACCGAAGUUAAGCAACGCCGAACCUGGUCAGUACUUCGAUGAGUGACCGCAUGAAAAUACCAGGUACUGUA